CAACAAUCAGAUUACUGGUUCGUUUCCAUCCUGGUUGGGGGUUCUUCCAAAACUUAAAGUUCUUGUUUUAAGAUCUAACCAAUUCUUUGGCAUGAUUACAGAUCUUCAGGAGAAUGGUCAAAUCAUAAACAACUUCUCAAGUUUGCAUAUACUUGAUUUGGCCUCCAACAGCAUCAUUGGACACCUGCCACAAGGAUGGUUAAUUGAACUGAAAUCAAUGAUGGCAAAUAACAAUGAUGAUGGACAAAUAGUGGGGCAUCAAACAAACAUGUCACAAGGAUUCUAUCGAGACACUGUCACUAUCACAUUCAAGGGGUUUGAUAUUAUUUUCACAAAAAUCCUAACCACUUUCAAAGUAAUUGAUCUCUCAAAUAACUCAUUUGAUGGCCUCAUUCCUGAGUCAGUUGGGAGGCUUUCUUCAUUGCAUGGACUUAAUAUGUCACAUAAUAAUUUCACGGAGCAAAUUCCAUCACAGCUAGGUAACUUGACUCGGCUGGAAUCAUUGGAUCUUUCUUGGAACCAUCUCUCAGGUGAAAUCCCACAGGAAUUAACCUCUCUUCUCUCACUUGGUUGAAUCUUUCAUACAACAACUUGACUGGAAGAAUACCCAAGGGAAACCAGUUCUUGUCAUUUCCCAACAAUUCUUUUGAAGGCAAUCCCGACCUCUGUGGAAGUCAAGUCCCCAAACAAUGUGACAAUCCGGGUUCAACUACUACCCCAAGAGCAUCAGAUCAUCCAGAAUCCAACAGUUUGUGGCAGGAUAGAACUGAAGCCAUCCUCUUGUUCACCUUCGUUGGCUUGGGAUUUGGAGUAGGCUUUGCUUUGGCAAUCAUGUUCCUGCAUUUCUGCCGCAUAGAUGGAUGGAGUCGCAAGUGUUUCUGUAUCCAUAUGUAGUCCAUUAUGUAACGUAUAAGUUUGGUGUUAUUUCCCAUAAUAAAAUACUUGUGUCACACUCUGUUUUAGAUGAGACAGCUUAAGUCCACUCUGUUUGUGAUAAGGUUGCACUUUUCCCGUUCAUUCUGCUCUGUAUGUCAUCCCAAAGAUAGCAGUGUUAUCUCAAGGUGAAAAGGACUAUUUUACCAUCUUAAAUUUUCUCAAGUACCAGCUCCAGCUUAAACAGACAUUAUUUCAGUGCAUUGAGUAAACCUUAGGCUAAACUUGCACGCAACAAUCUGAAUCCAAUUGUGACAAAAACAGAACUGAACCUUACAGAAAAACAGCAGUUGGCUCUUGGGGUGGUGUUUGUCGGCACCUGAACUCACUAUGCGGUAUCAUUUGUGGCCAAGACAAUUUGGGGAAACUUGGAAUCAAGAUGAACUCGCCUGAAAUCCAUAGCCGAUCGGAGCAGAAGCAGGUGAUCAGGCGAUUGCUUCUCCUGCUUCAGUUUCAGCGAUGAGAAAUUACAACUGCGAGCUCACCGAACAUCAAGGCCUUAUCAGUGAGCCUUCAGAGUUCAGACCACACAGUUCCCUCUGAUUUAUUUAUGUAUCCUGAACCAGUAGCGUUAGCUUCCUGUGACAGCUUGGGAUUUAUACCACCCGGUGGUACUUGUCGCUACUCUUCUUGAAGUCGAAAGUUACCGUGGAAGUGUGGAGAGCGGGCUCGUUACCAUGCCAUCCACCGCCGACCGUUCUAGAAGCACAAUACUGAACUGAGUAGUGGAGCCGAUCGGUGACCAGACAAGGGAAAACGAUCAAGUACCAGCUUCCCAAAUUUUUGGUGCUACUAAUAGAACCCAAGUCCUUGCUGGGGCUUUUACCUUCCAAGUGAAGGGAAAGCCCUUCAGAUACCCAGUUCAAUUUUUUUUUUAAAAAAAAGGCUUAAGAUGCAUACAUAGAUGAUGAAAAUUCCUUUCGUUCUUAAAAUAUGAAUUUUGUUAUGACUCUAUGCGUCAUUAAUGACAGCAUAGUUAUAAACAGUAUACGUUCAUUUUACAGAAACUUGACCUUGUUUCACAAUGCUUUCACUUUCAAGAUUUAGUUGAUCCUUAACCUUGUGGCCAUGUCCAAGUUUUACCAUCACGUCCUGAGUGAAGAAGGGUUGCUAGUUGAAAUCGAAUCUUACUCCAAAUUCAGAGAUGUCAACAACAGAUAGCCCCGUUUUAUUUUUCAAAGACCAGCCUCUCAAUUCCACACGUAAAGAGCCAUUCACUGACAAUGACAAAGACUAAAAGAAAAACUGUACAGAAAGUUAGAAAAGAGGUCCUUCCAUGCAGAAAGUAGUCCUAUUGUUUGUUUUUUCUGGCUUGGGGUUUGGAGUGGGCUUUACAUUGGCAAUCAUACUCCGAACAGUUUGUCAGGUAAAAGGAGUAUCAAUUUUACUUGGUAGGCGGUGCCACUGCAUCUAAUUUCUUUAGGAUACACGAUCUCCUGUGCAUUUCAAGUUGUCCUAUUGUUUGUUAUUUGAAGAAGAGGGGGGCUUGAAUCCAUGACCUCAACCACCACAAUUUAUUGUCUUCUUCUAAGCUAUAUGGUGCCCUCAUCACUGAUUUUAUUUUGUUUGACUUUAAAAAUAACGCAGUUUACCUUUACUGCCUCACUAUCCUUACCUAAAAAUGAUAGCCUGAACUUGAGCAAUGACCUUGUAUUUCUGAGAGUUGACAAAAAAAAUUCCAAGCGCUACAAUUUAAAAGUCAUACCUCUUAGCAAGGCAACCUUUUAAAAAGUCAAGAGCAAAGCGAAUUGAGAUCUGACACAUGCGACAUAAACCAGAAUAUUAGUGGAAAAUUAGCUAAAAAGUCCUAAUAUGUCAGGCAUUUUUUCCUCACCUCAAUGUAGUAUGCAACCGCGGAGGCACGUUUCCUCGAACACCUGGUGGGCGGCGAGAACGGUGACGAGAUGCCACAAGAUCCCCUUGGCGACCACGAUGAACCGAUGAUCGAUUACUGGGACAAUAUCCCAGUCUCCAGCGCCUCGAGCCAUUUCAUCUGCUUGCUCCUCGGUAUUCGCCCUCCGCUCGCACCUCGAGUCCUCCUUCCACAUGCUCGACGCCAUGAAGGCCAUGGCCGUGGCCAUGGCUGUGGCACCCACUUGCGACCAACGGCUCAACGAGGCGCGCCAUGGAGGCGUGUCGCCGGAGUCAACUCUCCGGCGAGCCCCUUUGGUAUGGGGCUAUUGUGACUUGCAGUGCCGGCGUUGCGGAGGAACGAG
rnacentral:lncRNA from 1 species